AGCUCGAUGAUUAUUUUUGCCUUUGAGGCAGUAUACGCUAUUCCGAUAAUUAGAAUGAGCGAUUAAGCUUUUUGGAAUGAGAGCU
rnacentral:snoRNA from 1 species